rnacentral:rRNA from 1 species
GAUGAGCGCUAGCGGCAGGCUUAAUACAUGCAAGUCGUGGGGCAGCACAGGUAGCAAUACUGGGUGGCGAUCGGCAAACGGGUGCGGAACACGUACGCAACCUUCCUCUAAGUGGGGAAUAGCCCAGAGAAAUUUGGAUUAAUACCCCGUAAUAUUAUGAGAUGGCAUCAUUUUAUAAUUAUAGCUCCGGCGCUUAAAGA